rnacentral:rRNA from 1 species
UACGUAGGGUGCGAGCGUUGUCCGGAAUUAUUGGGCGUAAAGAGCUCGUAGGCGGUCUGUCACGUCGGCUGUGAAAUCCCGAGGCUCAACCUCGGGUCUGCAGUCGAUACGGGCAAACUAGAGUAUUGCAGGGGAGACUGGAAUUCCUGGUGUAGCGGUGAAAUGCGCAGAUAUCAGGAGGAACACCGGUGGCGAAGGCGGGUCUCUGGGCCGAUAUUGACGCUGAGGAGCGAAAGCGUGGGGAGCAAACAGG